rnacentral:misc_RNA from 1 species
AAGUCGUAACAAGGUUUCCGUAGGUGAACCUGCGGAAGGAUCAUUAUCGAUUUUAUAAUCAUCCAAAUACCAAUAUCAAUAUAUCAUAAAAAAACAAUUACAAAAAAAUUCAUUUUUUUUUGUUAAUUGAAUUUGUUGAAUUACUUACGUUUCCAAGAUUAAAAGUAUGUGUAUUAGCAAUAAUAUAUGUACUUUUUUGGAAAUGAAUUUUAAUUUUAUUAACCAAUUGAACCGCUGAAGUAUAUAGAGAUAUAUAUUUUUGCUCUUUACAAAACAAUUUAUUUAACUGUACUGAAUUAAACUAAUAUUUAUUUAUUUUUCGAAAUAAAUCAAUAUUAAUUUCAUUACGAAAUAGAUUUAAAAGAACAACUCUUAGCAACGGAUAUCUUGGUUCUC